rnacentral:rRNA from 1 species
AGAGUUUGAUCCUGGCUCAGGAUGAACGCUAGCUACAGGCUUAACACAUGCAAGUCGAGGGGAAACGACAUCGAAAGCUUGCUUUUGAUGGGCGUCGACCGGCGCACGGGUGAGUAACGCGUAUCCAACCUGCCCACCACUUGGGGAUAACCUUGCGAAAGUAAGACUAAUACCCAAUGACGUCUCUAGAAGACAUCUGAAGGAGAUUAAAGAUUUAUCGGUGAUGGAUGGGGAUGCGUCUGAUUAGCUUGGUUGGCGGGGUAACGGCCACCGAAGGCGACGAUCAGGUAGGGGUUCUGGAGAGGAACGGUCCCCCACAUUGGAACUGAGACACGGUCCAAAACGUCCUACGGGAGGCA